rnacentral:lncRNA from 10 species
GUUUUGGAGUCUGGUUCCAGGCAGAAUUGCGUCAUCUCCUCAUCAUAGCUUUGAAGGACUCCCAGGACUAGAUUCCUGCUCCCCUCUCAGGUAUCACCUCCAGUCACGUUCCCAUACAACUCCUCUGCUCUAGAACUGCAGGGCUCCGUCAGUUCCCAUGAUGCAUGGUGCCCACUCACACCACCACACCUUUGUCCAUGUCAGCCUGUCAGCCUGGAAAUCCCUCCCUACCUCACUGGAUAAAUCCUAUUCAUUCUUCAGGAUGCAGUUACAGUGCCACUUGAUGUUUGGUCUCUGAUGACAACCAAAUAAUUUCCAACUCCUUUCUCCAGCUUCAGAAAGUGAGCUGUGGAGUCAGAAACACUACCUAACAGCUAUGUAAUCCUGAGGGAUUCAUUUAGCCUCUCUUUCUCUUGAAGGUAACAAUAGUGCCUACCUGGUUAUGAUUAUUAAAUAAGACCAGUGUUUCCCACACUUCAGCAUCCCACC